rnacentral:tmRNA from 1 species
GGGGAUGAUCGGCUUCGACAGAAAAUACCAGCGAUUUGCGGCAAGCCGAAGCUUUUGCUAUGACAGCUUCGUUAAAAAAGUCAUAUCACUCGUAGCUUUAUACGAGAACGUUUCUAAGCGUCGAAAAUAAUUCACAAAGCUUACUAAGCAAACUAGCUGCUAAAGUAGAGAAUUUCUUUGCUGCACCAGCUCUAAACUUUGCUUAAUAGCUGUUAGCUUGAGACCUAACGGUCUCGCUAUCCCUCGGAUAACACUCUCUCCUGAUGGGGAUUAUCUUGAGGUUCAUUAGUCAGGAUGCAGAUUAUUGUAUUCGUUUGCUACCUUAAUCAAAGACUUAGGUAAACGGUCAACUUUGGGUUUUUGUGGGUCUUUAUCCACUGUUGUCUGAAACAGACCCCCUACGCUUGUACACUGUAUUUCAAUGGAUUUUUUGGACGCGGGUUCGAUUCCCGCCAUCUCCACCA